AGCGAACGCUGGCGGCAGGCUUAACACAUGCAAGUCGAGCGGGCCCUUCGGGGUCAGCGGCAGACGGGUGAGUAACACGUGGGAACGUACCCUUUGGUUCGGAAUAACGCUGGGAAACUAGCGCUAAUACCGGAUACGCCCUUUUGGGGAAAGGCUUGCUGCCGAAGGAUCGGCCCGCGUCUGAUUAGCUAGUUGGUGGGGUAAUGGCCUACCAAGGCGACGAUCAGUAGCUGGUCUGAGAGGAGGAUCAGCCACACUGGGACUGAGACACGGCCCAGACUCCUACGGGAGGAAGCAGUGGGGAAUAUUGGACAAUGGGCGCAAGACUGAUCCAGCCAUGCCGCGUGAGUGAUGAAGGCCUUAGGGUUGUAAAGCUCUUUUGUCCGGGACGAUAAUGACGGUACCGGAAGAAUAAGCCACGGCUAACUUCGUG
rnacentral:rRNA from 1 species